GACAGGUGGCCGAGUGGUAAGGCGAUGGACUGCUAAUCCAUUGUGCUCUGUCACGCGUGGGUUGAAAUCCCAUCCUCGUCG